UUUUUUUCUUUUUUCAUCUGUCUGUUUUCAAGAGAAUGUUGGGUCCUCAGCGUCAGAGCCCACCUGUCUUGGUCAUCGUGGCAUCUCCUGGUACACUGAUGGGGCCUGGCAUAUAGUAGGGGCCUAAUAAGUGUCCACCACCUGGAAUCAAUGGAGAUCUCAAGCUGUACUACCUGGCUCAUCCCAUGGAUCAGAGGGAAUAGCGGUAUACCAGCCUGUAGCUUCUCAUUAUUCCCACAUGCCUCAACCUUUGUGGGUUUGGUAAAAAUCCCAGCCCAGACAAACGUUCUUCCCACAGUCUAAAUCUGCACAGGGUAAUUACUUGCGCAUCCGCACUAAUAAUAGGUCUUAUGAUUAUAGUUUAUUUGCUGCGAUUUUAGUUAAUGGACCGGAUGGAAUAUUUGCAUGUGGAAAGAUCCCCGGCUAUUUCAGGGAGCUCCCAAACUUGCCGCUCACAGGAGAAGAGGCUCUUGGUGCAGAAAGAGCCCUAAGGGCAGGCAGGAGGCCUGAAGACGAGCCCUUCACCUCCCUCAGUCUCCAUCUCCUCAUGUAUAAAAUGGGGUGAUAACACCUACCUUGCAGGGAAGGAGUCCAUGGGCCAAUCUCAAACCUCCGCUGCCGUGAACAUUGCUUCAUGGGCUAGCACCCUUUGCACCAGUAUCCAAGCAAUGGCUUGCUUUAUGCUGAUUUUUUUUUUCUUGAAUGUAUUUAAAUGGGAAAACUUCCUUCCUGCCUUAAGUGAAAACCAGGAUCCUUUGUCUGAAACAUAUCUUGUGGAAGAGCAUCCCUGAGAUUUUUCGACACAUUGAUGGGUUUAUAUGUUCAUUGUCCGUCUCUCCCAGUGGGUCGCCAGCUCCUUUAUCUGUCCUUAAACUGCUGAGCCCCCAGGAGCACACAGCAGGUGCUCACCAAGUCAGUAUGAAUGAACUGAUGGUGGUGCCCGCCAGCAGGAGAGCUGAGGGCACGAAAGGAGCUGGCCAUCCAUGCGCCCGUUCAUUCCAUGUGUAUCGUAUGAGCACCUACUAUGUGCUGGCACCUAGUGGGUGCCAGCACACAGCAGUAAAUGAGACGAUAUCUUUUUGGCUCCUCUCUACUUCCCAGUCUCCUCUCCUGGCUCCUUCUUGUCCCCUUGUCCCUGGCCACUUACUGUCCACACUCACCCCCUGGUGGUCUUAUCUAGCCUCCUGGCUUUGUAAACCACCCAGAUGCUGGUCAUGCCCAUGUUUAUAUUUCCAACCUUGACCUCUCUGCUAACUCUGGACCUGAGGUCUAGGAAGGAUCUUCUAGGACAGUGUAAGAUCAGCAUCCCCAUCUCCUGUGAGGCCUGCUCCCCCUGUUCUCAUUCUCUCUCUUGCCCUCUUCUUCUCAUACCCCCCACCUCACCUACCUGCUCUGGCUUCUCCGUGCUUCCAUAGUCCAGCCUGGUCCUGGCCACCCUCUACGACGCCCUGAAUGAUCGCAGAAGCCUCCCUAUUCCCUGAUUCUGGCCUGGUUCUCGGCAGCCUAUCUACAGAUAGAAGCCAGGUUUUAUCCUUUGUCUAAAAGUAUCCAAGGCAUGUAAACUGUUCUGCUCAGCACCCUCCAGGGCUCCUGCCCCACGUAGAGUAAAAGCCGAAGUCCUUACAAUGACCCACAGGGGCCUGCAUGAUCCCCUUGACUUUCCUUCUGUCCCCCUGCCCCUUGCUCACUGUGGCCCAAGCACAAUGGCCUCUUCUUUGCUUCAGCCUGCAGAGGCCCUUUCCUGCCCCGGGGCUUUUGCAUGUGCUGUGUUUAUUGCCCCCCAAGGGGAAUAUCAAAACUAUUUAACAACAGGCCCUAGCCCUGACCACUCAGAAACACCUCCUGCUACACUGAAUAUCCACUCCUUUGUUAUAAGUCCUGGGGACACACGAGGGGAGCCAGGAGUGGGGCUGGACAGGGCGGCAGCAGCCCCAGGGGCCAUUCUGGGGCACAGGCAGUGUCUUCAACCUACUGGCAUGAAAAUAUUUCAAUAUUUUGACAAAGGUAUAUACACCUGCUGAACCUCAGCCCUGACUCGGCCUGGCCAUCUCCUCUCCUAGCCAUCUCACAGCUUUGUCUUCUUCCAGUCUUUGUUCAAGGUCCCCUCCUCAAUGACACCCUGCCCGAUCCCUUCCCUAGUAUGCACUGCUGGGCCCC
rnacentral:lncRNA from 1 species